AUUGAACGCUGGCGGCAUGCCUUACACAUGCAAGUCGAACGGCAAGCACGGGAGCAAUCCUGGUGGCGAGUGGCGAACGGGUGAGUAAUAUAUCGGAACGCGCCCAGUCGUGGGGGAUAACGUAGCGAAAGCUACGCUAAUACCGCAUACGAUCUACGGAUGAAAGCGGGGGAUCGCAAGACCUCGCGCGAUUGGAGCGGCCGAUAUCAGAUUAGCUAGUUGGUGGGGUAAAAGCUCACCAAGGCGACGAUCUGUAGCUGGUCUGAGAGGACGACCAGCCACACUGGAACUGAGACACGGUCCAGACUCCUACGGGAGGCAGCAGUGGGGAAUUUUGGACAAUGGGCGCAAGCCUGAUCCAGCAAUGCCGCGUGCAGGAUGAAGGCCUUCGGGUUGUAAACUGCUUUUGUACGGAACGAAACGGUGAGCUCUAAUAAAGCUUGCUAAUGACGGUACCGUAAGAAUAAGCACCGGCUAACUACGUG
rnacentral:rRNA from 1 species